UAGUGAGUUUGAUCCUGGCUCAGGAUGAACGCUAGCGGCAGGCUUAACACAUGCAAGUCGAGGGGUAGAGGAAGCUUGCUUCCUUGAGACCGGCGCACGGGUGCGUAACGCGUAUGCAAUCUACCUUUUACAGGGGAAUAGCCCAGAGAAAUUUGGAUUAAUGCCCCAUAGUAUAAUUUAUUCGCAUGAGUAGAUUAUUAAAGUUCCAACGGUAAAAGAUGAGCAUGCGUCCCAUUAGCUAGAUGGUAAGGUAACGGCUUACCAUGGCGACGAUGGGUAGGGGUCCUGAG
rnacentral:rRNA from 1 species